AUGAAGGCAGCAUUAAAAACUAUCCUCCCACAUACACUUCAUAAGUUGUGUCGGUGGCAUAUCAUGAAGAAGUACAAAGACCACCUCGCCUUGCUGUAUAUGGCGCACGAGAAACUCAAUGAUGACCUCAAUGCAGUGCUGAACCACCCACUAAUGCCAUCAGAAUUUGAACGAGCAUGGAAGGACCUCAUUCAGAGAUACAACUUGCAAAACGACGAAGUGAUGAAUUCGCUGUGGGAUGAGAGGCACGAGUGGAUCUCAGCUUACUACAAGGAAAUUUUCUGUGCUCGGAUGACUUCCACGCAGAGAAGAGAGAGCAUGAAACGCAUACUGAAGAAAAACUUUGUCAAAGAGAAGCAUGAUCUCCAUCUGUUUGCUCAGCAGGUGGACAAGUGCAUUCAAACCAGGAAGGCAGUCGAGCACGCAGAGACAGUAGCAAAUGAGUCAGAGGUAAAGACAACAACCAAAUUUGGGUUCGAAGUUCAACUAUCAAAAGUGUAUACAAGGGCAGUGUUUGCAGAUUUUGAAGAAACACUCUACCGUAGCACUGCAUUCAGAGCAGAACGGUGCCCUAAGAACCCGACAAAGUAUCUUGUACACCACUACAACAGAUCGGAUGCAUUUGACUGGGCAAGGCAUAAUUUCCAAGUGGUCGCCGAUGAAAAGAAAGGUGUCUACGAACGUGAGUGCAAACUCUGGACACACACAGGGCUCUUUUGCGUCCAUGUGUUAUGCAUGAUUUCUCAUUUGAGAGUACUCAAGAUUCCUGAGGUGUACAUCAUGAAAAGAUACACCCGUAACGCAAGAUCAAAUGCAAUGUUUGACAGGAGAGACUACGAACAAACAACACCAGAUGGAAGCUCACUUUUUUGCUGUAGAAAAUUGCUGACAGAAACAGCAAUGGAACUUGCAAACAGAGCGACAAGGUCCGACGCUGGGUGCCACAGAGCGUUGUCUGGUAUGAGGGCACUGAUCGAGGAAGUUGAUGUGCUCAACGAAGAAGAAGAAGCAGCAGCAAAACUAAAGUAA
rnacentral:rRNA from 1 species